rnacentral:lncRNA from 1 species
AUGCCAUGUAGGAAAGCUGUCAGGAGUUUCUUUUGCUGUUAUAGAGUUCAUCAGCAGCUCUUGCAAAAUCCUGUUUUGCCCACUGUGCAUCUGCCUGCUAUUUCCUGCUGCUCAGGGUGUGUCUCCUCCAAGGGUUUUCAUCCAGAGCAUUGCUCAGCCAAAAGUCUGUUCUUCACCAUCUGCUUCAAAGUUGUGAUGUGUGACUUGAGUGGGACAAAGCAUGUUUUGCAGAUGGAUGAUUUAGAGAGGAUACUCUUGCUGACACAAGGUGUUUUCCUUGCUAACACAGCAUCUAUUAGGUAUUUGUGCUCUUUGUCUACUCUGAAAAGUCUCCUGUGGGUAUUUUUGGUUGCAUCCCCUGUGUUUGACUUGCUGCUCUUCCCACAGGAGCAUUCCUGCUAUGGGAAUAAGCCAUUCAUAAGCCAUCAGAUGGGACAGUCCUGUAAGGAUGCUACUGGCACAAAACAAAGGCAUUUAUGUUCUCUUGCUGCCUUGGGAGCUGUGUCCCAUGCAGGUGGGAGCUGACAAUCCCUGCUGCCUUCUGGCAUGUGAUAUAAAUAGAUUCUGAAAAGGUGAGGCAGGUUCAGCAGCUGGAGAUAAGGACAGCACAGGAAACUCAGCCAGGAUGAAAUGAUGAUGUUGUAUGGCUGAGAAUUUCUUGCUGAAGCAGAUAUUGGCUGUGAAAUGGUGGGAGUUCACCAGUAUUGCAUGACAGCAUGACAUCUCUUGUAGGAGAGAUUUUCUAGAGAUCUGUGGACAGAUUUGACUUUGCUUUUUACCACCCAUUUACGUAAAAAAUAUUUGAAAUUGGAGAAUGAUUAUUCCAUUUCUGAGAAUUUUCUUCCUGAAUGCUGUUGAUGAACUGUUAUAUUAGUUUCACUGGAAAGAGAAGCAAAUUAUUAUUUUGGGCAGGUUUUCAGGUUUAAUGCUGUUUUCUGGUGCUUGCCCUGUGCAAUCUCAAAUUAGCACAUAGGUUUAUAUUAAUAUGUGACAAUUCUGUCUCAAUAACAUGGCACUGAAUAGUGUCUGUGAACAGAGUGGAAGGAUAAAACAGAGGGUGCACCUGGUCACUGCAGAAGAUGAGCAAUAUAAGCAAAUAUGUGUGUGCUGCCCUUCAUUUCAGACUCAUUGUGGGACACAGACACUUCCACACAGAUCCUAUUUUCCAUUGAGCACAGCAGUCUGACUGUGGCCAAAAGAGAAUGUCUAUGGAAAGAAUACAUGGAACAAAGUAAAAACACUCCAGUUUUCUGCAAAUUGCAAACAUUCUCAGCAAUGCAACAAUUUAAGACUUUUUGACCCUAUGGGCAUACAGAAAUUCCUUAAUAUAUUUCAAGGAAUCUGACAGAUUAGAUCAUGCUUGAGUUCUCUGUAAAAUGGUUAUGCUGGGAGGUGAAUCUUCCAGCUAGAAAAUGGGCUAAGAAAAUUAUAUUAGAAGUAGCAACAUUCUCAG